AAUGCCAUUCAAUUACGUUAAUCCUUUCAGUUCUUCAUUCUUUUCACCGGAUUCUGUACGCUUUUUUGUAAGUUAUUGGGGAGAAAUUUGUAUUUAAUCAAGUUAUAUCCCGAAAGGAUGACAGUUAAUUCAGCUGUGUCGUGAACUGUCUCCUUGACAAAGUGCAUUUGUUGCAAAAGGAAAGAAUAUACCGUAAUCUGUCCCUCAAAUAGGAGUGAAGAAGACAACAUCUGUUUCUGAAUGAUACAUGGCAGUGAUUUUCUCUCGAUGAUAGCUUUACCUGUUCAGUCGACUGUCAUUCGUGACUACAGAAAUGCAGAUACUCUUCAAAGGUUAGGAAUCAGUUUUAGAGCUCACUCAUCCAUUUUAGUCGCCGGAUAAAGAUGUAAAGUGAUCGGAGUAGUGACCUCACGCCAUGAGGCAGAUCACAUUGCUACGAAAGAAAAUAUUUUGCCUGCUAUCGUAACAGCGAGUUUUGUUAGCACUCCAGGUGGCAUUGGUAAAGGCGCAAGUGUACCCGAGAUGAGUUAUUUUGAGGAAGUUAAGGGCUUGAGGAAGUUAAGGGCUUAUCAUAGUCUGGCUAAAUUAAAAUCUUGUCGAGAAGAUGGAUACAUCAGUGUCAAGCAGUGAAGAAACACAAAAAGUGGAAGCAGGGUUGAACUGCGCCCAAGAAAAAAGUUCCGAAUGCGAAGGGAAGUUGACCUUAUGAGGACAGGCCUACAGAAAGAGAAUCGGAAAUAGGUCAACACAAUCAAAGAACUCUGAUAGUUUAUCAAAAUCCUGCUAUAAAUGCUGACGAGAAAGGGUCAGGAUGAACGUCAACAUAUAGAAACAAGGUUUCCACCAGUCUCACUGACUACAAUAACUGUUUACUAGAUAACUUUGUCAAUUGUAAACAAGGUUGUUAAAACUCGCCACAGAGUGAUUCAAAAUUUAACUAAUGUGAAUAAGCGGAGUGAAAGAAAUUCUCUUGAUUAUAUGCACAGAGAUGUACUGUGUACAAAUCGCAUCCUGUUGCUCUACGAAAGGUGAAAAUAAUUUAUAACACAAGGCUCAAAAUAGAUCAGUUCUUUUCACAACACUAACAUAGCUUUAAUAUUAGAUUCACUGACAGAAGUUGAACAAAGUGCAAAUAAACACGAGUUCACGAUGUA